CGAACGCUGGCGGCGUGCCUAAUACAUGCAAGUAGAACGCACAGGAUGCACCGUAGUUUACUACACCGUAUUCUGUGAGUUGCGAACGGGUGAGUAACGCGUAGGUAACCUGCCUGGUAGCGGGGGAUAACUAUUGGAAACGAUAGCUAAUACCGCAUAAGAACAUUUACUGCAUGGUAGAUGUUUAAAAGGUGCAAGAGCAUCACUACCAGAUGGACCUGCGUUGUAUUAGCUAGUUGGUGAGGUAACGGCUCACCAAGGCAACGAUACAUAGCCGACCUGAGAGGGUGAUCGGCCACACUGGGACUGAGACACGGCCCAGACUCCUACGGGAGGCAGCAGUAGGGAAUCUUCGGCAAUGGGGGGAACCCUGACCGAGCAACGCCGCGUGAGUGAAGAAGGUUUUCGGAUCGUAAAGCUCUGUUGUUAAGGAAGAACGUGUGUGAGAGUGGAAAGUUC
rnacentral:rRNA from 1 species